UCUCGCUUUCCUUUUCUCCUUUUUCAUUUUCAUUUUCUUCUUUUUCACUUUUAUUUUUCUCUUCUCCUUUCUCUUUUUCCUCACUUGUUUUAACAACAGAAUUUUUUAGUUUGAUUUGGUCCUCCUGGACUUGUUCCGGAAUGAGCGGCACUAAGGUGACUUUCCUUCCUUGAUGCUUGAAAGCAUACCUAUUGGUACGACCAUC
rnacentral:lncRNA from 1 species